GUCUUUAAGAUUAUUAAUUUAAAGUCCAAUCUGCCCAAUGAAUUUUAAUUUAAAUGGCUGCAGAAUUACUCUGUACAAAGGUAGCAUAAUAAUUUGUUUUUUAAUUAAAAACUUGAAUGAAAGAUUAAAUGAAAUAUAAACUGUUUCAAUUAAAUUCAUAUUAAAUUUUUUAUUUAAGUAAAAAAACUUAAAUAAACUUUAAAGACGAUAAGACCCUAUAGAAUUUAAUUUAUUUAUUUAUAAAAAAAUAAUUUAGUCUAUUUAAAUUAAUAAAUAAAUUUAAUUGGGGUAAUUAAAAAAUUUAACUAAUUUUUUUUUUAAACUACAUUAUAUUUGAAUUUUAUAUCUUAACUAUAAAUUAAAAAAAUUAAUUACCUUAGGGAUAACAGCAUAAUUUUUUUUAAAAGAUCUUAUUAAUAAAAAAGAUUAU
rnacentral:rRNA from 1 species